rnacentral:rRNA from 1 species
UACGGGGGGGGCAAGCGUUGUUCGGAAUUACUGGGCGUAAAGAGCGCGUAGGCGGUUAUACAAGUCAGAGGUGAAAUCCCGGAGCUUAACUCCGGAACUGCCUUUGAAACUGUAUAGCUGGAGUAUGUGAGGGGAUAGCGGAAUUCCUAAUGUAGAGGUGAAAUUCGUAGAUAUUAGGAGGAACACCGGUGGCGAAGGCGGCUAUCUGGCACAUUACUGACGCUGAGGCGCGAAAGCGUGGGGGAUCAAACAGG